CCUACGGGGUGCAGCAGUGGGGAAUAUUGGACAAUGGGCGAAAGCCUGAUCCAGCAAUGCCGCGUGUGUGAAGAAGGUCUUCGGAUUGUAAAGCACUUUCGACGGGGACGAUGAUGGCGGUACCCGUAGAAGAAGCCCCGGCUAACUUCGUGCCAGCAGCCGCGGUAAUACGAAGGGGGCUAGCGUUGCUCGGAAUGACUGGGCGUAAAGGGCGCGUAGGCGGUUUAUGCAGUCAGAUGUGAAAUCCCCGGGCUUAACCUGGGAACUGCAUUUGAGACGCAUAGACUAGAGGUCGAGAGAGGGUUGUGGAAUUCCCAGUGUAGAGGUGAAAUUCGUAGAUAUUGGGAAGAACACCGGUGGCGAAGGCGGCAACCUGGCUCGAUACUGACGCUGAGGCGCGAAAGCGUGGGGAGCAAACAGGAUUAGAUACCCGCGUAGUC
rnacentral:rRNA from 1 species